AUUGAACGCUGGCGGCAUGCUUUACACAUGCAAGUCGAACGGUAACAGGCCGCAAGGUGCUGACGAGUGGCGCACGGGUGCGUAAUGCAUCGGAACGUGCCCAGUCUUGGGGGAUAACUACUCGAAAGAGUAGCUAAUACCGCAUACGAUCUAUGGAUGAAAGCGGGGGACCGUAAGGCCUCGCGCGAUUGGAGCGGCCGAUGUCAGAUUAGGUAGUUGGUGGGGUAAAGGCUCACCAAGCCAACGAUCUGUAGCUGGUCUGAGAGGACAACCAGCCACACUGGGACUGAGACACGGCCCAGACUCCUACGGGAGGCAGCAGUGGGGAAUUUUGGACAAUGGGCGCAAGCCUGAUCCAGCAAUGCCGCGUGCAGGAAGAAGGCCUUCGGGUUGUAAACUGCUUUUGUACGGAACGAAACGGCUCUGGUUAAUACCCGGGGCUAAUGACGGUACCGUAAGAAUAAGCACCGGCUAACUACGUG
rnacentral:rRNA from 1 species